rnacentral:rRNA from 1 species
GACGAACGCUGGCGGCGUGCUUAAUACAUGCAAGUCGAGCGGAAAGGCGCGGCGCUUGCGGGGCGCACGAGAGGCGAAGGGGGGAGUAACACGUGAGGAACAUGCACCUGACUGAGGGAUAAAACUAGGAAAAAGGGGCGAAUAUCGGGGAGGAGCUCUUGAAGCGCGGGGGGGAAUGGAGAGUGACGGCUGUGGUGGAUGGAUUCGCGGGUUAUGAGCUGGUUGGUGGGGUAGUGGAGUCCCAAGGCUUUGACGGGUAGCCGGCCUGAGAGGGUGAACGGCCACAAUGGGCCUGAGAUACGGCCCAGUAUCCUACGGGCGGCAGCAGUGGAGAACAUUGCGCAAUGGCCCGACGCCUGAUGCAGCAACCCCGCGUGCGGAAUGACGGGCUUCGGGUUGUAAACCGCUUUCGACUGUGCCGAAGCGUGCGUGACGGUAAUGGGUCAGAAAGCCCCGGCUAACUACGUG